rnacentral:rRNA from 1 species
UUAGCCCUAAACCUAGAUAGUUAACCCAAACAAAACUAUCCGCCAGAGAACUACUAGCAACAGCUUAAAACUCAAAGGACUUGGCGGUGCUUUAUAUCCCUCUAGAGGAGCCUGUUCUAUAAUCGAUAAACCCCGAUAAACCUCACCAUCUCUUGUUAAUUCAGCCUAUAUACCGCCAUCUUCAGCAAACCCUAAAAAGGAAGAAAAGUAAGCACAAGUGUCUUAACACAAAAAAGUUAGGUCAAGGUGUAGCCUAUGAGAUGGGAAGCAAUGGGCUACAUUUUCUACAACUAGAACAUUCACGAAAAUCCUUAUGAAAUUAAGUAUUCAAGGAGGAUUUAGUAGUAAAUUGAGAAUAGAGAGCUCAAUUGAAUCGGGCCAUGAAGCACGC